rnacentral:rRNA from 1 species
UACGUAGGGGGCUAGCGUUGUCCGGAAUCAUUGGGCGUAAAGCGCGUGUAGGCGGUCCGGUAAGUCCGCUGUGAAAGUCGGGGGCUCAACCCUCGAAUGCCGGUGAAUACUGUCGGGCUAGAGUGCGGAAGAGGCGAGUGGAAUUCCUGGUGUAGCGGUGAAAUGCGCAGAUAUCAGGAGGAACACCUAUUGCGAAGGCAGCUCGCUGGGACGUAACUGACGCUGAGACGCGAAAGCGUGGGGAGCAAACAGG